AUGUUGCCUUACUUUAAAAGACUUUUAAUAGAUAGUAUUUUCAUUUUGACAGUUUCUAAGUUUGGUACUUGGAUGCGAAUUGUUCACUUGAAAGCAUGUAAUCAAGAUGUCAACAUGCAAGUACAUGUGAGAUUAAACCUCUGCUUUCUAAUCUGUUCUGUAUUGUGCAAAAGGCCUGUCAUGCAAGUUUUCAGUGACUGCAGCGCUCUGAUAGUGACUGUAUCUAUAACGACAACUGUUUGUUUCUAGAUGCAAUCCCUUUUGUGUUGUCCUAGGCUCGAGUUUUGUUUAUUUCUGUGUGUGCAUUUGUUCAUUCUUCGGGGUGUUAAAAAUGUAUCUGAAAUGUGAUUUUAUAUAUUUGCAUUCUUCAGGUCUGUUGAAUUAGUGUCACUAACAACCAAUGAAGUUUAAUCUUUUAAGUGUUAAUUCCCCUAUCCUCUUUCUGCUCUUAGUUUGUGUGUAUUCCUAAGCUAAUGAUUGGUGUGGCUCAUUGUAAACAGUCAAACACCCCAGCAGUCAUGUAUGUAUAGUGCGUGCUAGGUGUGUCUAGGUGUAAUACAUUGACAUUACCAUGGUGCUGUAUUUUAUUUAUUUUUUUAAUAAAUUGUUGAAUGUGUUAUUUAAACAUUAAAGUGGAUGUUAUCUUAGUGUGAUGAUAACACAGACUGUGUCUGAGUAAGCUUUGGCUAAUGUCACUGUCAACAGAAGUGCACCGAAAGAUGGGUUUGCAUGUGUGUAUGAUCUUUGGAACUACAGUCGUUGGAAAUAUCUGGUCUCGUCUGUUCACCAUAAGAAGGAUGUAGCUUAGUUUGUUGCAGUUUUUAUUGUUUCUUACAGAAUUAUGUUUUUGUUGUGGAGAAAGCCCCCUAUCACUUCACUAUGAAUUUAUUUGAUCAAAGAAAUGCGGGCAUGGUGAGCAUUAGAGACUUGUUUCAAUGUAUAUUAGUCAUACAUGGUACCUGGUACAUUUUUCAAGUUUAUUAGUUAUAGUGUAGGGUGGAAGGGUGCCUAAUAUAUUCAAUUCUAUUUUAUUAUAUCUAACUGAUUCAGUGGAAAGUGGUGUGGAAAAAAUGGUGAUUUUAUAACUGAUAUGCAGAGACAGAUGAUGGGAAGUGGGUAAAAGACUCAAUGAGAGAAAAAGAGAAGAAACAGACUGAAAAAAAAAAAAAAAAACAGGAUGGAGCAUUCCCUGAGUCUCAUAGCAUUGUUUGCUCGGACCAUGGUGCAAAUAGCCUCCUCCUGUUGAGGUGUGAAAAGGCGUCCUCUGCCACCGGUUUGAGGUAAUCUUGCGGUCCUAUGUGGGGACAAAUGCAGUGAUGCAUCGCACACUUUCACAUAGACAAAAAUUAUGCAAACACACAUUUUACUGUAAAACAUACAGGUGGGUGCAUGUAAGGUGCAGUAUGUAUCUGCAUAGAGUAUAUUUCUGUAUGCUGUGAAAUACAAGUGGACUACUGUAAUAUGAAGCAUUAUAGGAAGUAAACAGUAUACUGCUUAUAUACAGUAACAGUGCACUGUACAUUGGUGGACAUACCUGUUCUCUCUUCGAAACGUUUGAACUAUUGAGGACACGGUUGAUCUCCCAAUAUUCGGCUGCACCCUUCGACCCUCUUCAGCCAUAGUAAGGCCAUGAUUGACAACAUGGUCUACAAUAGUGGCUCUAAUGUCAUCAGAUAUGCGCCUAUGUCCUCUUCUGCCUCUUCCUCUGUUUUGCCUUCCACCACGCAUCCUUGCUCCUCUUCUUCCUCCUCUUGGCUGUUGACCCUGUUCGUUUCCUGGUCCAUCCAUUAUUGGUAAAUUGCAACUCUGUGUUGUGGUCUGUCUAUAUAUGAUUCCCAGUUGAUUGUUCAUGAGAUGCACCUUUGACAACUGGUUGAUUGUUGAUUGAACUAACACUUUACAUUCCUUGAGUGAGGGUCAAUUUCACCUGCACAAUUCAUCAAUUCACGUUUUUGUACAAAAGGUCUAAUAGAAAUGUGUAAAACUAUGCUUGACAGUUUAUGACAAAUAGUUCAACAAUUCUGCAUGUAAUGGCUUAUGCAAGGAACUAAUGCCUAGAUGUUUUGAGGGGUAAGACUAUUGCAAAGAGAACUAUAUAAUACAUUUUGAGCAACAUGACAUUAGCAACUGAUAAUGUAGGAAACCACAGAUAAAUGUGCAUAAUCAAUUGGAUGAAUGUACAAAAGCAAUCGCAACUUGUUCAAAAGAAUGAGAAACUGGUUUUAUGAUGUGUAUAAAUGACUAGAUGAUGUGGAGUUUGUACAAGUAGUUUUGAGAAUUUCAUUUCUGAUUUGAGAAAUGCACCAAAGCAACUGAGAAAAACUGUAUUACAUUCUGACAUUACUGGGGCACUUUUUUGUAUUAACAUGCACUGAUGAAUCAUUCGGUAUAACACCAGGAACAUGUACUCAGAAAGCAAAUAAGCCAAUCUGGACUCUUUAUGCUGACUCUUUCAGGGACAAAGAAACGGCAGUGACUGAACUGAGACCUUGUUCAUUCUCUCAAGCGCAGACUUCUUUUCUUACCUUCCACCAUCAGCAUGGGCUCCUUCCCUCCCCCAUGAGCCAGCAUCUCUCUACGGUAAUGCUCUCCGGUUUCUCUAGCAACAACGUGAGCAGACUAGAGGUUUACUUUGGAAUACCAGCAUCGUCCCACAAUCCAAGCCCAUAACCCUUAAAGACAGAUUAAUUAUUACUGUCCCACCUAACUAGCCAUCUGUGAAGGGUGUGUUUGAGUGUGACCCUAUGGAGAAAAGAUAAGCACUUCCGUCCUGUAGGAUGAGGCAUGACGUAAUGUGUGCAGUGAUGUGUGUAUCAUGAAUAAGGCGUUGUGAUUUUGUGUGGUGGUAUGAUGAUGAUGAUGAUGAGGCUAGAUGUAGCUUAUUUGUCAUAUUUAUGAUCACUAUUGUCUGUACCAUAUUGUUGGAAUUUUUACUGUUAGAUUUGAAGGUCUUAUUCUAGUAUACUGUCACUGAUUUUUUUUUUUGUUUAAUUAGAAUUUGUUGAUUUAUUUUUUUGAACAACAGCAGAUCUGAUUCACAAGGGUUUUUUGUGACUCUAAAGCGUUAGUUCACCCAAAAAUGAAAAUUUGUCUAUGUUUUACUCACCCACAAAGCAUCCUAGGUGUAUGUGACUCUUCUUUCAGAUGAAUCCAAUCGGAGUUAUAUUAAAAAUUGUCCUUGCUCUUCCAAGCCUUUCAAUGGGGGAUAAGCGGGUGUUGUUGUCAAUAGUUCGGUAUAUUAAAAAUUGUCCUUGCUCUUCCAAGCCUUUCAAUGGGGGUAAACUGGUGUUUAUUUUCAACAGUUCAGAAGACGUGAAAUAAAGUGCGCGCAUCUGUAAUAAAACGUCUGUCACACGGCUCCGGGGGGUAAAUAAAGGCCCCCGUAGCAAAUCCAUGCGUUUUUGCAAGACAAAUAUCCAGAUUUCAAACGUAAUAAACACUUUUUUUCUCACUUCUGCUGAUUGUUGUGAACGUGCAGGUGAAUGUCGUAGUUCGUCAGCGCUGCAUGGUUAGUGACGAACGUGGAGAGAGAACAAAACAAAACACUGGUCACGAAUUAGAAUCACAAAACAAGGAUUUGUAAAGAAAACCGUUGGAGGAUUUCCAAAUAAUAUAAUAUAAUAAAAACAUCACCAUAAAGUAUUAAUACAGAAACGAUCUCUCUGUGAUACUUUUUUUUGCAAGAGUUUUAAACUAGGUACACAUUUAGACACUCAACAAUGG
rnacentral:lncRNA from 1 species